GCUGCACAUUGUUAGAGGCUGGAGUUGAGGUCCCUGGCUCGCCAAGGAGCUCACAGGUGUGGAUAGUGGGCUGCGUGAGGGGCCAGUCUUUCACUAACUGCAGGGGUUCUAUCCCAGUGAGUGGAGUUUCAUAGUAAUUCUCGCUACAAGU
ensembl:snoRNA SNORA62 Small nucleolar RNA SNORA62/SNORA6 family